rnacentral:rRNA from 1 species
UCGGCUCGAGGACGAACGCUGGCGGCGUGCCUAACACAUGCAAGUCGAGCGGGGAGGAGGAAGCUUGCUUCCGAAUCCUAGCGGCGGACGGUGAGUAACGCGUGAGCAACCUGCCUUGAACUGGGGGAUAACGCAUCGAAAGAUGUGCUAAUACCGCGUAAGACCACGGCACCGCAUGGUGCAGGGGUCAAAGGAGCAAUCCGGUUUAAGAUGGGCUCGCGUCCGAUUAGCUAGUUGGUGAGAUAACAGCCCACCAAGGCAACGAUCGGUAGCCGACCUGAGAGGGUGAUCGGCCACAUUGGAACUGAGACACGGUCCAGACUCCUACGGGAGGCAGCAGUGGGGAAUAUUGGGCAAUGGGCGAAAGCCUGACCCAGCAACGCCGCGUGAGGGAAGAAGGGUUUCGGCUCGUAAACCUCUGUCCUAUGGGACGAAGAAGUGACGGUACCAUAGGAGGAAGCCCCGGCUAACUACGUG